CCCACGCCAAAGCUUCCUCACUCACCUACUGUUACCGCUCUGAUCAGGAUAUAAUAUUUUCAGUGAUCAGACUGCAACGGAAGUUGAAAGAAUCUUUAGCAACUGGACGAGCCAGCGGCAGCAACAAAACCUCCAGCACACGUGUUGAAAGAUCCCAGAGUUUUCUUACUUGCUUCUCUUUACAAAGUUGCAGUGUGUUUUGUCCUCCCCUUGAACUUCUUCUAAUACCAUGGAGCAGGACCUCUGCAGACAAAGCCACUGCAACAGCCACGGAGUCUGUGUGUCUCCUCCAGAUGGCGAUGCUAAUUUGGUUUGUACAUGUGAUCUGGGCUACAGCGGGGAAUUCUGCGAAACAACAGUCAAUGGGCAUUUGAGUGUACCACUGACCGUAAGCACAAUUGUGGUCAUCGUCGGGCUGGUGAUCUUCGCUUUUGUCUUCGCUAAGCUGAGGCAGAGGCAAAAGAGGAAUAAGAGAAGACAACUGGCAGCACAAGGCUACAACGUAUCAGUUUAAUGUGGAUAAAUACAAAAUAUGUCUAAGGUAAACAAUGUCUUGGACAAUUUCCACCCCAUCGUGUUCCUGGAUGUUUAAGAGUGACCCUUCCAAACGGAAAGCAGAUAUGCAUUUUUACUCACUGCAACUGACUUUGUGCUCCAACCUCUUAAAGCCACAAACACUGAAUUUACUGAAGCACCUUGACUCCUGAGCCUGUUUGCUUUGUUCAGCUGACACUCUAUACGAAUGUUUUCUGCAGGACAAAUAUGAGGUUAUGUUGGAUUUUGUUUCUACAAUCAUGGCACUGUUGAUGUCUUUAUAGUCAAGUUAAACUCACUCUUUGACCUUUGACAUUUCUUUCAUGCACAGUCUUCCAGCACAAUUAUGCAAAUGUUCAACCACUUUGAAUGAUGAAGCAGGAGCUUUGGGCGGAGGCAUUGAUCUCAUGACAACCAGCUUGUUGUAUUUAACUGGUGUUAGCAAGGAUUUUUCAAGGUCAUAAGGUUUGGAUAUCUCUGUAAACCAUAUAUAAUGUACUCAUAAUUGCAUAGUUUUAUGUUGGAAAUCAUUUAUGUACUGUGUAGUUCACCACUUUAGUGCAUUUGGUCUGUGUUUUGUUUUUGUUUUUUGUACUGGUAUGUUGUUUGGUCUGCUUGUCCUGACACAAAAUACACCAUACCUUACUGACUUUUUUAUACUUAGAAAAAUAUGUGGGUCCAUUUGAUCAUUGUCAAAUGCAGUAUCAUAAUUUUUUUAAUCCAUUUUAUUUCUUGAUUAUGCACACAACUGAUUGUUUUAUGUCCCAUAAUAAUUACAAACACUACCAAUGCAAAGCUAGACUGUAUAGUUUUCUGUCCUUCUGUUUCUUGAAAUUUUUCUUUGUCAUUUUGUUAACCAGAUCAUUUGUUUGUGUUUGUUUUGUUCUGUGGAGCAUUUGUUUGGCGUAAGUAUCCAGCCAAUAUUUUUCUUUUUAAGAGGUAGUUAUUACUUAUCAGAUAUUUGAGCAAUAUUUUUUACAGUCCUCCUUCUACAUAACUAUCUGAUCCAUGUAAAGUCUUAAUUCAUGGAUCAGAUCAUGACUCUGUCAUGUAACUGCAUAUAAAAUUAGCUUCAAUUAAACACCUCUUAAAUGUUUGAGAUGUCUGGAGAAGUCAAAGAGUCAGUUUGGAACCAACUCAAUUCUUAUUAGCCACUAAUUUGACUGUCUGGUCAGAACCUUUAUUUCUAAGAACUAAGGUCCUUCAGAUGGUUGUCUACUAUAGGUAACAUGAUGACUGCACUCUAUGUCCCCAUAAAACUCUAAUGUCAAAGAUAAACCCAUUUUAAAGUAGCAUAGUUACUUUAUACACUCUAGAGCACCUGUAAAACAAAGGUUUGUGUAUGUAUAGAAGACAUUAGCUAAAUGAGUUAUGUUUGAAAAAUAGCUUUCUCUUGUACAAAACUGAACUAUGAGUGUUAAACAGAUCAUUUGUAGAUUUCUGCUUUAAUAAUCCGACUUUGACAAACUCCAAUACUUUACAGUCACUAGACACAUUUCUAACCACUGCUGCUGAACAUCUGUUUUGUCACAAUAUGGUUAUUAAUCCUUAAUUUCUCAGUAGAUAUUCUGGUGAGUUUAAUUUUAUCCAUCUAAAAAGGAAAAUGGAAUAAACUUUUUAAGUGCUUUUUCUAUACACCCUUAAACAGUGUGUAUAAAACAACAAAACACUUGUCUUUUUUUAUUCUAAUAAAGUUUAUAAAACCCUUUCUUUCUAAAAAA